AUCCACCCCUUAUUCCAUACCAUUCACGUCAUGCUCAGAUCCCACAUUUUCAAUAUACCAUCACUCUUAUCUCGAGAGAGACACCCACACACAAAGAGAGAGAGAUAUCAUUCCUUAGUGCAUGUACCAAUCGCUACAAAGCUGCUGAGUCCAUUCUGUCCAUGAUGUCAGGCUCCAUCUCUUGUAACAGUCUUCCAGAGCAGCAGAGACUGUGUGCAGUGUUCACACACGUGAAUAACCUGGGCAAUAGUGUCCAUUGUUAAGUCCACCCCUCGAUCAUGAGUC